CCGGACCAAACCCUAGCCCCCUCGCCCGUCUCGCCCGCAGCCUGGUGCACGCGCGGCGUCGCCUCUCCCUUCUACGCCGCCACGCCGUCGCCUCUCGCCGCCGCCUCGCCCUUCUUCCUCUGCGCGCGCCGUCGCCGCUGCAUCCUCGCCCUCCUCCAGCCAUCCUCGCCCUAGCCGCACUACUAGGCUCGCGCGCGCAUGACCUCACCUGCCGCCGCCGCCGCUCGCCCGCCGCCGCUUGCCCGCCGCCGCUCGCCUGCCGCUCGCCUGCCGCCGCCGCCGCCGCCGCCGCGGCUGCUCGCCUGCCGCCGUGCCGCUCCCCUCGCUCGGCACACCAGGCCACCUUCUCCCCUCUUCUCUCCUCUCAUCUCCAGGCCACCCACCGCCUCCCUCUUCCUCUCCCUAUCCUCGGUGAGCUACAGAUCCGGUUCGGGGGUCAUCGGAAUCGAUGGUCUCGGCCAUUGGUCUCCUCGCCGGUGAAUCGUUUUGAUACCCUUCUGCAUACAUUUAGCACAAAAUCCACAUGGUUCUGUGGAGAAAUUGAUGGGCUAGGAUGAGGUGUAAGUCGCAGAUUACAGAGAGGACGACUUUCAUUCUGCGCAUCUACCGUCAUACUGAACAAGUUAUCGAGCUUUCUCCUCUCUUAAUCAGGGCUGCGAUAUUUAGAUUAUGGUCUCCAGUUAUGCCAGUUUGCUUCUGGUUAUGUCCACAACAUAUUCAAUGUUGCAAAAUAAAUAUAAUGUAGCCAUGCUUCAGGUUACAGCUUCCAAUCCACAUCUUUUAAUAUUAUGUAGUGUGGCAUAUGCUUAUGAAAGUAAUCCAUAAUACUACUAUCUUCUGUUAGGCUUUCACAUUUAACUAUUUUAUUUUGUCGACAUCGUUUAACUUGGUGUUUUUUCCCCUUUUCCUAAGUGGUUGGUUGAUACUAUUACAAUAGUAUAGAUACACAUAAUGGAGCCAUGUUUCAGGUUAGAACUUCCAAUCUGCAUCUUUUAUUGUUAUGUUCACCUUCAAAUUUUCAUGAUGUUCAAAUGUGCUUAGAAAAUCAAGAACCAAAGAUGGAAGACAUUAUUAAGCUAGAAACAAAUUACAGCCUUGCAGAGUUAAAAGACUUGAAAGUGGUUGACCAUGUCUCAAGACCCAACACUUUCAUCUUAGAAAUGUUAAUUGAAAGCUUUCUCAAUGACAUUAUUUUCCAUAUAUCAAUUACUCCAACUAAUCUGGUACUAGCUACUGUAUAUGCAUAGUGAAUAGUUAGUAUUGCUUAAACAAUGUCUGGGACCGUUAUAUUCGUUGUAAGCAUAUAUUUCAAUUGUUUUCCUAUGAUGGUCAGUCAAAACCAGAUAAUCAAAAAAGAGAUAAAAAACUACUCUCUAUUGGUUAUUUGAUUUUCAGGCUUUCAAGAGAUUAGACUACUAGGCCUGCAUAAUUUGAAAUGCUAUUUAAUAAACUAUAUAUGUAUUUAAAUGUUCAGAAAUUUAGUUCCAGUUUAAAAUUUCAGGUGUAUGCAAUGUUGAAAACCACCAAAUCUGGGCAUUUCCUUCCAAACAACUUCUUUGAGAUGAAAUAGAUUCUGGGCAGUUGUUUCUUCCACCGUCCUUCAUUAUCUUUGUACUCUCGCAUCUAAAUUAUCCUAUGUCAAAUGUGCAUAUGAUUUAGUUCACAGCUAAAUGCAUCUAAAGGGCCAACACCAGAUCUUCUGCAGGUAACUGUGGCCUAACAUCUAAAGCCAUUAGUAGUACCCAUGUUCUUUUUUAGUUCAUAAGUCCUGGUACUGAUGUGGUGAUGCUAAGAAAGGUUUAUGUGUGAUACAAUUAAUAAGAUGUUAACCACAAAAAGAAUACAAAAGCUGUGCACUGUGCAUUAAUUGAUACUCCGUAAUUUGUUGUUUGCAGACGCAGCAAAAAUAUAUUAGAGUACAAAGGGUAAUUUGUCUUUGCCAAAAGAAUGGAGUUGAUUUUCCUAUCUUCUUAAUAGGAAAGAAUUCAAGUACAUAGUCUCUUCUAGGUAAUUUCUUCCAGAGUUUCAGUGCUGUCUGGGAUUACAAGCAGUCAAUGCCUCUUCUUAAGUAAUUUCCUUCAGUGUCGUCUGGGAUUACAAGCAGUAGAUGCCCGAUGCCACAAGUGUUAGCUUAUAUAAAAAACAAGGUUGGUAUGCCGCAUGUCUUCACUUUCUACCACAGAGUUAUUGCGCGUUUGUAAACAUGGUGAAAGAGAUGUAUCUCUGAAGCAUAAUCAAUUCAUUAGCAAUUUCAAUGUUAGGUUGUUUUUCUUUAGCCAGCAGCGCAAGAGAAAAUAGCAUAACAAUUUCAAUGUUACGCAUUUGUGUAUUCGACAGAAGGUCCAGUUAUGUGCUCCAUUGGAGAUAUUCUUAUUCUCUUCUCAAAUUGUCGAUUGGAGUAUUUGGUCGUUCAUGUGUAUGGCUUAAAAUAUUCAACAAUAUUGUAUCGAAGUGGUUAUCUUCUCAUGUUAGACAUAAGAAUUCCUUCUA